rnacentral:rRNA from 1 species
UACGGGGGGGGCAAGCGUUGUUCGGAAUUACUGGGCGUAAAGGGCUCGUAGGCGGCCAACUAAGUCAGACGUGAAAUCCCUCGGCUUAACCGGGGAACUGCGUCUGAUACUGGAUGGCUUGAGGUUGGGAGAGGGAUGCGGAAUUCCAGGUGUAGCGGUGAAAUGCGUAGAUAUCUGGAGGAACACCGGUGGCGAAGGCGGCAUCCUGGACCAAUUCUGACGCGGAGGAGCGAAAGCCAGGGAGCAAACGGG